ACACGUUGGAUUUCUCCAUGGAGUUCCACAAAGAGCCCUCAGGAUGAUGGUAGAUGCAGGGUGUGCAGAGUGUGAGUCACUCUCACUGGUCCUGCUACACACAGCAACAGGUCAGGGUGCUUUCAGUUCUUGCAUUCCUUUGAGAAUAUUACCACAUGAGAUUGUUUUUCUCCUCUCCUUAGGUAUUUUUGGUGUAAUUUCUCUUUCUUUAUUUGCAUUCACUCUGAGAAUAUUACCACAUGAGAUUGUUUUUCUCCUCUCCUUAGGUAUUUUUGGUGUAAUUUCUCUUUCUUUAUUUGCAUUCACUCUGAUUCUGCAGGGGUGGGGGCUGUGUUUGGAGCAGAUGACAAAGAGCUCUGCUCUUUCUCAUCACACUGUAAGUGGUCAUUAGCUGAGGACUUUAAGAACAAUGCAGAAAUCUAUUUCAUUAACUC
rnacentral:lncRNA from 12 species